CCUACGGGAGGCUGCAGUAGGGAAUCUUCGGCAAUGGGGGGAACCCUGACCGAGCAACGCCGCGUGAGUGAAGAAGGUUUUCGGAUCGUAAAGCUCUGUUGUUAAGGAAGAACGGGAGUAGGAGUGGAAAGCCUACUUUGUGACGGUACUUAACCAGAAAGGGACGGCUAACUACGUGCCAGCAGCCGCGGUAAUACGUAGGUCCCGAGCGUUAUCCGGAUUUAUUGGGCGUAAAGCGAGCGCAGGCGGUUAGAUAAGUCUGGAGUAAAAGGCUAUGGCUCAACCAUAGUGUGCUCUGGAAACUGUUUAACUUGAGUGCAGAAGGGGAGAGUGGAAUUCCAUGUGUAGCGGUGAAAUGCGUAGAUAUAUGGAGGAACACCGGUGGCGAAAGCGGCUCUCUGGUCUGUAACUGACGCUGAGGCUCGAAAGCGUGGGGAGCGAACAGGAUUAGAUACCCUGGUAGUC
rnacentral:rRNA from 1 species